UACGUAGGGGGCUAGCGUUGUCCGGAUUUAUUGGGCGUAAAGGGCGCGUAGGCGGUCAGCACAAGUCAGUUGUGAAAUCUCCGAGCUUAACUCGGAGCUGUCAGCUGAUACUGAUGUGCUAGAGUGCGGAAGGGGGACUCGGAAUUCUUGGUGUAGCGGUGAAAUGCGUAGAUAUCAAGAGGAACACCUGAGGUGAAGACGGGUUGCUGGGCCGACACUGACGCUGAGUGCGCGAAAGCCAGGGGAGCAAACGGG
rnacentral:rRNA from 1 species